rnacentral:rRNA from 1 species
AUUGAACGCUGGCGGCAGGCCUAACACAUGCAAGUCGAGCGGAUGAAGGGAGCUUGCUCCUGGAUUCAGCGGCGGACGGGUGAGUAAUGCCUAGGAAUCUGCCUGGUAGUGGGGGAUAACGUCCGGAAACGGGCGCUAAUACCGCAUACGUCCUGAGGGAGAAAGUGGGGGAUCUUCGGACCUCACGCUAUCAGAUGAGCCUAGGUCGGAUUAGCUAGUUGGUGGGGUAAAGGCCUACCAAGGCGACGAUCCGUAACUGGUCUGAGAGGAUGAUCAGUCACACUGGGACUGAGACACGGUUCAGACUCCUACGGGAGGCAGCAGUGGGGAAUAUUGGACAAUGGGCGAAAGCCUGAUCCAGCCAUGCCGCGUGUGUGAAGAAGGUCUUCAGAUUGUAAAGCACUUUAAGUUGGGAGGAAGGGCAGUAAGUUAAUACCUUGCUGUUUUGACGUUACCAACAGAAUAAGCACCGGCUAACUUCGUG